rnacentral:lncRNA from 1 species
GAUUUACGGAUUUAAUUGCAUAUAUUUAUAUUUAAUUAUUAAUUAUUUGACUUCCGUAAAACCGUCCACUCGUAACGGUUUAGCGAUUUUUCUUCCCGGAAGUUUCAACAAAACUGACCUUUAGCCUAAUUUGAAUAUUCCGGACAUUUUUCGUGUUUUGACUUUUUCGAUCCGGAGUACGGUUUUUCCCGGAGUCGGUCCGGCGGAGUUUUGCGGGUAUUUGAAUUGUUGAUAAUUAUCCAGUUUGUCUCGAUAAGCGUGAAACUAGAUAUUUUGAUUAUUAUAUUAAUUCUUAUCUUGUAAUAAUUGCAGUGGGACCCGCAUACUAAUGACUGAUUAAAAAGCCCCGUUUUGAUGAUUAUCUUGAAAACCAGUACCGAUUGGACCCCGCUAUAUUAAUAUAAAGCUAUUAAAUACGUAUUUUCAUGUCAUAAACGAUCCAAAGGGGUACCAAUUAUUUGUAAAUAUAAAUAGACUUUUCUAUAGCUGAUUUUCACCCGUAAAAUCAUUUCACCAGUUUCUUUUCACGAAUACCGAGAGAAACCGAGCUGCGUUCUUCGUGUUCUUCGUAAUCAAACGAAGAUUUGAAGGUGUUAUUGG